rnacentral:rRNA from 1 species
AUUGAACGCUGGCGGCAGGCCUAACACAUGCAAGUCGAGCGGAUGAAGCGGGCUUGCUCCUGCAUUCAGCGGCGGACGGGUGAGUAAUGCCUAUGAAUCUGCCUGGUAGUGGGGGAUAACGUCCUAAAACGGGCGCUAAUACCGCAUACGUCCUGAUGGAGAAAGUGGAGGGGCUCCGGUCGCCAUGUCUAGUGAGUAGCGUAGGUGGGUUCAGCUGGGUGGUGGGGUAACGGCUUUACAAGGCGACGAACCGAAACUGGUAUGAAAGGAUGACCAGUCAGCCUGGAAGUGAGACACGGCACCGACUCCUAGGGGAGGAAGCAGUGGGGAAUAUUGGACGAUGGGCCAAAGGCUGAUACAGCAAUGCCGCGUGUGUGCAGAAGGUCUUAGGAUGGUAGAGCAAUUUAGGUUGGAAGGAAGGGCAGUAAGUUAAUACGUUGCUGUAUUGACGUUACCAACAGAAUAAGCACCGGCUAACUUCGUG